ensembl:lncRNA
ACACCAGCUCAGAUCGGUCACCCUAUGCACUCCUCACAGUCACUGGACUAAAGCAGCCUCUUGUAGGACACUGUUCAUCUCAUCCAGAGGGAUAAAAUCCUGCAAGUGCCUACUUCUUACUGCAGUCAACAAGAGGAGACUACAGUGAACUGACUUGAUCAGGUUAGAUGUUUGGAAGAAUUUCUUCUCAGAAAGAGUGGUGAGGCACUGGCACAGGCUGCCUAGGGAUGUGGUGGAGUCACUGUCCCUGGAGGUGUUCAAGAACUGUUGAGAUAUGGCGCUGAAAGACGUGGUUGGAGGGCAUGGAGGGGAUGGAUUGGCGGUUGGACUUGAUGAUCUUAGAGGUCUUUUCCAACCUUAAUGAUUCUAUGAUUUUAUGAUUCUAUGACUUCAGAGGCCCUGGAGCUCUCUCAAAGGUUACUGAAGAAGCCCUUGACACCAGCGGCCUGACCUGGCCCUUUGCUGAGAGGUAUUGCACUGGGAAGAAGUAGCAGAAGCAAAAACGUGCUUUGAGCUCAGUUGCUGCACUUCGAGCUUGAUAUAUCACCCAGUAUCAUCAGUGAGAACUGAUGCCCUGUACCUGAGAUAUGAGCGCCUACUUCUCUUCUUCACAGGAAUACUCUGGCAUACAGCCUGUUGACUAGCCUGUGCUUCUUUCUGAAGACAAAUCUUUGGUAUGAAAACAGAUGGCUGGUUUUCUGCUUUUACAGGAUACUUUAGGUUCCAAAAUUCAGGCACGCACAAUGAGCAUCAAAUGGCCAUCCAUUAUGCCCAGGGAUGUGCUGGUUGCCCUGUCCCUGGAGACAUCCAAGGUCAGUCUGGAUGGAGUUCUGAGCAACUUGAUCUAGCUGUAGGCAUCCCCAUUCAUUGCAGGGGAGUUGGACUAGAUGGCCUUUAAAGGUCCUUUCAAACUCAACCAUUCUAUGCUUCUAUGAUUAUUUUUCACUGUAAGCCAAAUCGCAUAAAGGGCUGGCAGACCUCCAGUAAGCACAUCAGGUCUUAUUUUCUGUCUUCUUUACAUCUUCCUUGUUAGACUUCCUUUGCUGAAAAAACUACCCAUAUAGCCCAGUGUGAAGACUUCUAAUUAAAUUAGCUGCUUUAUUAUGGUCUUUUUUUUAGAAAUUCCAUUGUAUUGUUAUAAUAAUUUAUUUCCCUUAUUAGACUGAAGGUUGAUUAAAAGCAGAGCAGAUUAAAACCUGUAACUCAGGUUGUGGGUUCUUAUGUUAUAUAAAAAGACAGUAGUAGUCAAAUAUGUAACUUUUCCCCAUGAGUUCUUUCUUUGAGAUAGACACUAAUUCUGUUUUUGAGACAAGUCUCACUAUCAGAUGCACUUAAUCUCAUAACAUUAUUACCUUAAGUACACUAGUCUGUUUGCAGCCAUUCUAAUGCAUGUAUAUGGAAAUGUAUAUAAUCACAAAAUAUGUUUAAUCUUGGGUAUAUUGAUCUUAAAGGAGAAAUCCAGCACCCAGCAUACUAUAUUCUGAUCACUCUGCUGUUGUCUCAGUCCUGCAACUGGGGAUGUGAUUCUUUAAUAUUGUUUUUGCUUCUCUUCCAUUUUUAGAUGGGAUACAGUAUGAAGAACAUUAUGCAAUGCACAUUGAUAUAUCACCCUGACCCUGAAACUUAGAGUGCGUCAGACCAUAUUCCUCAGUUGAAUUAUACUCAGCUCAGCACAAACAUUUUAAAUAGAUGAACCUCAAGGAAGAAAUGCUGCCCUGCGACAUUUCAAAGGCAUUUGCAAAAAAAUAUGAGUUGGGAUUUUAGAGUUCUUCUUGUUUUCAUUACUCUGUGCUCAAGCACUG